rnacentral:lncRNA from 1 species
CUGGGAUAAAAAUGUCGCUCCGACCCCUUUAUACUCUUUUAAAGUCGAGACUUCGUUAAAAAUAAAGCACAAAAAUCAUUAUUGUCGCAUUUAAAAGCUUAAUAUUUUCCAGACGGUAAGCUAAAACCACAAAGGGCUUGGGUACACUUUAUAGAUGUAGUUAUGUAAAAAAAAAGAAGUGCCACUCGAUUUUUCAAUUCUUUAUAAAAAUUGUUCUGCCAUAGAAAAUAAAAUAAAUAUCAUCAGACCAUUUCUAAGCCAAAUAUAUCAGUAGCUGGCAUAUUUGGCGUGUUAUCUUAACCAAGUCAGUUACUCCCCUUAUUCCCAUCAAAGACCCGACACAGAUACUCCUCAUCUAUCUACAGGUUCCCAGGUCCCAUUGCUGGCACCGAACCCAUCAUUCCUUCAACGGUAGGGGUUCCCAGCCCUUCUUUCAACAAUGUGUUAAUCAUUCCACUUGGCGCACGCUUCGUCUUGGUUUCUUUGGGACAUUUGAGGGUCAUCCUUUCAGGAAACCUCUCCCACCAUUUUCUGUACACUGUACCCCCCUUCCAUUGUCCUUCAUUUGAAGACAUAUUUGUUGUGCGGUGCCCGCCCACUUUGUCACUUUACCAUCCACCGCCUCUUGGAGGAUGUUGCCUUUUAUUUAUUUGUUUGCCUUUUGUUGACAGCAAUUUAAACGCUUCAAUGGACUGCUACUGCCACUGCCACUGCCCCAGCUCCCACCCAGAACGCACCUCCACCAAUAUCCAUUAUAGAGCGCAAAAAGGGUUUUCGCAAAUAAGUAUCACCUCGUAAAUUAAUUUCUCUUGCUGCUGGUGAGCAGAUACAAUUUGUAUGAGCUGGCGAGGCGGUGACUGAAAGAGAGAGUGGAGAGAGUGAGUGAAUGGUUGAGAGGGUGUCAGGGGAGCAGGCUGUUGUAGAUAUUCGAUGAUGACAUGGCCUCCGCUAAAGGUCACAAGGAUUUUGGAAGCAGCAUUAAUUACUCCCAAAACCAAGUGCAAAAUAAAAUUCACACAAAAUAAUAAAACGAGGAGGGAACAGUUAGUAUAUCUGUACGAAUUUUUUGUUUUCCAAUUUUACAUUUGUUCUACAUCUGUCAUCUACAUCUACAUCAAUUCUCUCGCCAACACUUUUUGUUAGCUCACCACACUUCCCCAGUUACACACACGAGGCAGCGAGUGCGAGCGAGAAAGAAUGACAACACCCUGCUGGACACGAUGGGGUAAGCCAAUGCAAAUUAAUUUCUUCAUUUAGGCUACAAUAAUGCUCCAAUCGAAUCCCCAUUCGGUGUUCUUUUAGAUAUGGUCAUUCCCCAAGGAAUUCCAUUUAGAUCUCUCUUAUCUUCCAAACUGUGGAUACAGAAGAUUUUAGCCCGUUGUGAAGGCGAAAAUACUAUUGUUUCAGUGUUAUAUCACAGAAGUCUAGAGGCACAAUACGGUGGCUCUAGCUUUAUAAUCUCUGAUAACUAGCCGACAAACUAGACGGGCGGACGGACGGACAGAUAGACGGACAGACAGGCAGAUAUAGCAACUUUAUGGGGUCGGAAACGAUUCCUUCUGUGCGUUACAUACAUCCAAUUUCGAGCACAAAUACAAUAUACUCUAUUUAUUCUUCGAGUACCGGGUAUACCAACAAAACAAUGAAAACAGCUGCCUAAAUUAAACAUUUAAUACCCUACCAGAGCAGGGUAAUUGUUGCUUAAUUAUUUUAUAUAAAGUUGAGAAUCCGCUUAAAGCAGUCAGCUGGAAAGCCUCAAAAUGGAGGGACUCCUUUCCGUAAAAAAAUAAUAUUUAUGCUUCUCUGCGUGGUUAACUUCACCAAAAAUCAUGAAUAUGCUCUGCAAAAGUAUAAACAUUAGCUGCAACUAAAAACGGUUUUUGUUACGAGUAUUUGUAUUUGAAUUUUGAUUAUAUAAUUUGUUUGCUAAUUUUAUUUGUUAAAUAUGUAAAUUUUUUUUGGUUUUUUCGUGUUUGGGUUAAUUUUAUUUCUUGUCUAUUCGUCUGUCCAUCUUGAUGAGCACCUAAUCCUCAGAGACCAAAAGAGCUAGAGCAACCAACCAUCCAGACUUCUGUUACAAGUGAGUUUCACAAUUUCGCCCUGCCCCCUCCCGACACCACAAAAGGCGAAAAUCCAUUUCCUCAAUUUUCAAGAUAAGAGAAAGCUAAAAACUAAGUUCCGUAGAGAAUGGAAUAUAUCUAUCAGAUCCCCGAAUUAAAAUCGACUCGGAUCACUCAGGUUAUAGCCAGAAUCAUUUGCAGUGUCUUCCCCCACCCAUUCCAACAUCUCUGCCUAUGCUUGCUUGUUGUCAUUCUUGUCAUUGUUGUCAAUCAGACCAUUUCAGGAAAAGUUGCAUUGGUUCCUUGAGGGGAAAUCGUGUUGGGUAGUGUAAUCACAGUGGUUGGCAGAUCAUAGUACAUACAUACAUACAUACGUAUGUAAAUAUGCAUGAAACAUAAAAUGUGUACUUUCCCCAUAUAUUUGCGUGGGCUUAACUGUUGUGAUUAAAUGCUAAAUGUUGUGUUCUCUCUUUUUGUUUGUAUAGGUGCAUUAAUUGGGCGCCGGCACAGACGCUCCCCAGGCCAUUUGAUCCCAAGCCUCAUGAUGCCUCGGACCACCAAAUCCGCAAUUCCCCAAGUUAAUUAUGUAAGCAGCAUCGAAGGUGGCCGGCAUAUAUAGGGCUGGUUCGCCAAAGAUCAGGGCAGUCAAAUUCCAUCAAAAAUGCCACCCAUAUCGGUCAGUGAAAACCAUCAAGAACCACC